CGGUCGAGGACCACCUCGUGCCUGCACGAGGGACAGCGGAAGCGGCCUCCCGACGCCACAGUUGUGCCUCCUCUGGUCGGCAGGUAGGGGUUGGAGGCCUGCUCUUGCCAAGAAGCACAAGGAGAGCCAGUGCUGUCUGGGAAGCAGGGCUCUCUGCGGGAAGAAACCUACCUGGAAGAUGUCGCUGGCGCACUUCCUACAGAGGUUGUGCUGGCAGGGCAGGAUGACGACAGGCUUGGUGAACAUCUCCAAGCAGAUGGGGCAAAUCAGCUGUUUCUCCAGGGUCCAGGAUCUCACCUUCCCAAGGUGUGAAGCACGUGUGGUUGCUGGAGAAGACAAUAGGAGCGACGGCUAUGCUGGAGCUCAGACACAUCAGGGUAUAAACAUGUCACCACCCUGAAGAACAGUUAAAAAGAAAUUGCCUGCCUAUAAAUGUGCUUAAGGUUCUUCUGGUCUGAUAUUUUUCUAGGAGCUGUAACAUAAGAAUCUAACACAACCAUUCAAGCUGUGAACUCCACAGUGGUUUAAAAAUGCACAAAAAAAAAAAAAAGUUUGAAUUUUCUGGUGAGAAAGAGGCAGAAGAAAUACAGUAUUGAAAAGCUUUCAUUUGUGGUGCUAGAGAAUAGGUGCUAAUUGUAUAUGCUCUCUCUCCACACAGUUUAAUUCAAAUAUAUUUUAGUUUUGGGCACUGCUGUGUUUAUAUCUGUUUAUUAGACACUGAUAUCCCUCUCAGCUUGGCACUUGUUCCAGAGUUAUUUUUAAAAUGACAAUUUCCCAGAUAAUUUGUGGCAUGUGAUGCCUGAUCUUAAGGGAAAGCCAUCUGUGCUUCUACUUGUCAAUUUAUCACACAACUGUACAAGCAAUAAAUACCCUCAAAUUUAAGCCUAAGUCCCUGCAUGUACUGUAUAAAAUC